UUAAAAAUAGUAUAAAAGAGUAUAUAUAGUUUACGUCUAUUUGGUGGAAAAAUUUUUUCUUUUUAAU
rnacentral:tRNA from 1 species